UGGGGAAUAUUGGACAAUGGGCGAAAGCCUGAUCCAGCCAUGCCGCGUGUGUGAAGAAGGUCUUCGGAUUGUAAAGCACUUUAAGUUGGGAGGAAGGGCAGUAAGCGAAUACCUUGCUGUUUUGACGUUACCGACAGAAUAAGCACCGGCUAACUCUGUGCCAGCAGCCGCGGUAAUACAGAGGGUGCAAGCGUUAAUCGGAAUUACUGGGCGUAAAGCGCGCGUAGGUGGUUCGUUAAGUUGAAUGUGAAGGCCCCGGGCUCAACCUGGGAACUGCAUCCAAACCUGGCGAGCUAGAGUAGGGCAGAGGGUGGUGGAAUUUCCUGUGUAGCGGUGAAAUGCGUAGAUAUAGGAAGGAACACCAGUGGCGAAGGCGACCACCUGGGCUCAUACUGACACUGAGGUGCGAAAGCGUGGGGAGCAAACAGG
rnacentral:rRNA from 1 species